rnacentral:lncRNA from 1 species
UGUCCAGGUGCUCUCCUGCCGCCAACACAGCCCUAAUGAGCUCUGCAUAUUCAAAACACAAGUAAUUGAUAGUCCAAUUUAAAGUGUGCAGAGGCCAAAUUUCUUUCCAGACGCUGAAGGAAAAACACCAGCUGAGGAAGAAUGAAGAACUGCCUGUUCUAAGUUAUUCUCCUUCUGUGGUCAUUCGAGCACCAGGAAGACCAGGUUUGCCCCAUCAAGUACCUCAAGAAAGAAGUCAAUUACCUAAAGAAGUCAAGCAAAGAGGAAAGGACAAAAUGAAAAUCAUGUACCAGGGUACACGUCGAGGCUCCAAGCUGGAAUGAAUAUGGCCUUCAACAUACUCUUUAUCAUACAGAAGCUUGUGUUCAGGGCUUGGAUUUUGAAGUCAGACAGACCUGGAUUAAAAACCAAUUCAACUACCUAUUACAUAUGUGACCUAUCUACAGUUACUAAGCGCCCACUGUGUGCCCUGGAAGGGACUAGACUCAGCAGGAAAAACAUCCAGGCAAGUGGACAGCAUUUGCAACAGCCCAGCAAUAAGAAGGACCAUAUUCUACUUGGGAAAAGGUAAAGUCGUUUCAUAUGGACGGAGCCUGCCAGGAAACCUGUCAUUCAACCCUUUGCAAUAAAACAGCUCCUCAUGAAUGAAGCAAAAUAAAUCAGAAGUUGUGGGCUUUUAAACUCACUAAAUGAAAGCACAGCAUGCAUGCAGCCUCCCUCCAAAUUAAUCACCAGAUUAAAUGCAAGAUGUGCACACCAAAUCAAUAGCUUGUGACGGGGACCUCCUGCCUGUGCUUCAGGAAAAUUCCAUUUCCUUUCAGAUGUUGUCGCUUGAAAUGUCAGGAAGUUUCCAUUCAUCACCCGCCCUUGAAAAUGCCACCAUCACCAUACUUCAUGUUUCCUUGCUUUCUUUCUUCAGAGGAAUCCAAGCACCUUGCAGAGGGAGCCCACUCCUUGUCACAGACUCUCCUGGAGGCUGAAACAGGGGCAGUCUGCACAGAGGAGAGGUGUAGAGAGGCGCGAUUUAGAAAUAAGAAAACCAAAUCGUAAAGAAGCCUAAUGUCUUGUUGCAACAUCUGAAAGAAACAAGAUGAAUAUAUUCCACUAGGUGGGAAGCUUAGGGUAGUGGGAAGAACAUGGAUUCAGGACUUUGAGAAACAUGGAUUUAAAUUUUGAUCCCCAAUGCCUCUCUGCACUUCACUGUUAUCUAUAAAAUAGAGGAAAUAAAAAUACUAUACAUUCAAGUCUUAACACCAACAGUUAACUAGUUGUGUAACCUUGGACAAGUUAUGUGACCUCUCUGUCUGAGCAUUGUCAUUUGUAUAUGAGAUCAUGGAGGUUAAAUGUCCAACCUGUUGUCACUGUGCACCUCAAAAUAAUAAAUAAAACAUUUCAUCUCUCA